UGACCCUUGCCUGAGUGGGGGUGAGUUUGGGGCACGAUGUCAGCUGAGAGCCUCUGAGGCUGUGGGGUCAGGGCACUGACCAAGCAGGGGGUGUCCUCUGUGACAACUCAUUGCACCUGCUAGAGCUCCGGAGCCCCCGUCUUGUCUUCUGUUCAAUCUUUCCUCCAGGGUCGCGUGCUGUGCACGUGUACAGGUCAGGAGCCCACUUGGUGCACAGUCACAGGCGUGAUUUAAACACAGCGGAUGCUGUCCUUUCACAAAGCUCUGAGAGAAAGGACUAGCUGUGGGAGAAAUGACAGCCAAACUUUUGUUUCUCCUAGCUUUGUAACUGUACUGCAGGAUCCUGCGGUAUCUGAAACGAUACCCAGUAACAUAGAGUCCAAGUGAAAUUUCAGUAUAUUGAUGUGGGCGCCUAGUUCCAGAAAAGUUUUAAGAGGCCUUGCGCCGAAACAGGUUGUGAUUUGUUAAAUUGUAAAAGACCACUUUGUUUUACAGAGCAAGUUUUCUUUCUUUGUUAAAUACCUGGAUGCCCUACAGUGAGGGUGAGGGUCCCCUUGUGAAAGAGGUGUCACUCUUAACUAGCCCGGGUUGGACCGUGACCGUACCCAUAGCCCUAAGCAGUUGUUUUUACUCAUUACUCAAGUAUCUAAGGUUCUUUUAAAAAGGACUGCCCGCAUCUGAAGUUUCCUCUCCAUUUAAAUUCUUGUCCCUCUCCAUAUUUACAAGGUCUGUUUUUGCAGCAUAUGGCUACAAUUUAAUAAUGCAAAGCAUUCCCCUCCUCACAGCUGGAAAGCUGGGGUGGUUCUGUAUCACAGAUAGAGUGGACUUACUCCAGGCCAGUUAAAAUCAUUCAACUCCCAGAAGCUAAGCUUGCUGAAUGUUCUGUCCUGCACAAAGGCACCCAGGGGAUAUCCACUUGCGUAUUAGAGCAUCAUGCUUGGAAAGAGGGAUCGAUUCUAUGGUGAUACGUUGCAAGCAGAAUAAAAUGCCAAGGAGAGAGACAGACAUGUAUCUACCUAAGUUUUCAUCUGUUCCUACCUUACAGAAGAAGAAUGCGAUUUAAAGUUAUUAGGCCCAAAUCCUACUCAAGUUUCAUUUCUUUCUUUUUCUGUAACUGUAAAAGAAUAUCAAGGUGUUGCAUAAUUUAAGCCAAGCACUCUAAUUGCGUGGCAAUUAGAGUCCUGUUGGCUUUUGCACCAUGUCAUUGACGAUAGAAGAAUUUAAGGAAAAAAAUCAGGUUUUGGUUUUCAACGUUGUUAUGAAUCUUUUUGGGUCUUUUGACUUGUAUGCUGCUCUUCAGGGACCUUUCCUUUUAUUUUACGUAAUGGAACUCGGAACAUACUCCUGUUCGCACUGAAAUAUUCCUAAUUCUUGAACCCAAUAAAGAUAUUUCCCUCCCCCCACCAUCCCCAUUCUAUCCCUUGAGCAUAUUCAUGUCCCCAGGGCAUUCAGGAGGAAGAACUGAGAAAGACCACUCGACUUGCAGAUUUGAUCUUAUCACCAUUAAAAUCAUUACAUGCACUUGUUAAUGACAGGGGCAUGCCUGGUCCCCUCCUCCCCCAAUAUAUCCUAUGGUUUUAUUUAUGUGAAAUGUCUAGAAUAGGCAAAUCCAUAAAGACAGAAAUUAGAUUAGUGGUCGCAAGGGGCCUGGAGUUGUGGGAAACAGGUACACAUCACUAAUGAGUGUGGAGUUGCUUUUUUAAGGUGAUGAAAAUGUUCUGGAAUUAGAUGGUGGUGAUGGUUGUACACCUCUCUGAAUAUACCAAAACCACUGGAUUUUUACGCUUUUAACAUCAUAUGUGAAUUAUAUCUCGAUAAGAUGUAGUUUUUUGUUUGUUUGUUUGUUUGUUUGUUUAAAGUGUUUAUGAGCCAUUGGGAGAGAAGGGUUUGGAACUCACGGCAAGGAUAGAUAUUUGGGGGCUCUUAACCCAGAGUCAGAGACCUCGGAGGAUCAGGGAAGAGGCUCCAGGGAGCCCUGACACAGGUAUAGGGUGCAUUGCUCUGGGCUGCAUUAUAUCUUGGUGAGGUCCCUAAUUCUGAUAAAGUUCAGAGGCCACUGGCAGGUGUGGAGGACAAGUGACAUGAUGUCUUGUAAGAUACUGGCUCCAUUGUUUAUUCUGCGGCACUUUGUUUUUAAUGUGGGGAUUUUUAGUUUCAAAAUUUGGUAUUUUGGAUUGUAGUCAUUUCCUGAAUUGAACUACUUUCUAAGCAGAACAAUGCUUUCUAAGUAAGUAAGCAAGGAAUAGAAAAGGUGAUUGUCUUCCUCAGGGCGUAAUAAAGCAUUCGGCUGUUUUAUACUUAAUAUGUCCUCAUUGGUAUCCAGAAAUAACCCACAUAAAUUACACUACUUUGCAUAGUGUUGACAGGUGAAGAAAGGACUAUCUAUGAAUUUUUUGAGAGAACAUGUAGAAAGAUGAGCAAAGAGAUUAGGAAAGGCCGUUGGUGGGGUUACUCUUAGCAGAUGAGGAAGGCAAAUAUUUUAAAAAGAAGAUAGUUGCUCCUGAAUCUUAAUGCAUUAUGAUUCUCUUAAAUAUAUUUACGCUCUGUCCUUUUAACUAGAGCACUAGUUAUUAGGAACUAGAGUUAGUAGAUUAUUGUAGUAAUUUUCCUACAAUAGAUUACUAUUGUAAUCUAUUACAAUAGUUACUAUGUUAUUGUAAUUCUCUCUGUAGCUCGUAUUUUUUGCCUUGGGUCUUCAUCCCUGUGAAAAUCCACUGCAGGCCCACGGUGAUUUCCAUAAUGUGCAAAUCUAACUAUUUUAUUCUCUUCCUUGUAAGUUUCAAAAAUUUCCACUCUAGGCUAAGCCUAAUCUUUAGCAUGACAUCUAAUACAGCCCUUCAUGAUAUGGUUCCUACUUUUCCUCUCACUGCACACGAGGACCUUGCAUUUAGCCUUCGCCAUAACCAUGUGCCUCUCCACUGUGUCUCUGCCCAUGUUGUUUUUCUGCCUAGAAUGGUUGUUCCUGACACCUCAUCAGGGACACUUCUCCAGGCCCUCUCUCUAGUACAGUUUGCAGUAAUAGCACUUACUGCAUUUUUGCCACUAUUUACUUCUCUGUUUCCCUUAGUGGAUUCUGCACACCUUCAGGUGAGGAUUGUAAUGUUCCAUUUGUAAAUUUAACAUCUAAGACAAAUACGUGGCCAGAGACCAUAUUUGGCAAUGUUCAAAAUUUGUGAAAUGGAGGCUUAGACCAGUAAUAGGCUAAACAACUUGUAACCUGUUUGUGCAGUAAUGGGACCGUACCCUUCCUUGGUACUUGACCUAAGCCAGGGAAAGCAUGAUGUUUCAUGGAAAUGGGUACAGCGGGCCUUUUCUGCCUUGUGGGUACACUACACCUUGGACAUGACUAUUUGGGGAACGUUAUGAACUCAUAACUUUGCGUAGCAUAGCCUGAUGAAUUUUGUAGGGACGUAUCAGACUGAGAAAUGUAAUGUUAGAAUACAGUGACUGAUUCAGAAUACCAGUCUCAGACAGAUUAAAGUUUUCUUCUUUCAAUCUGAUGAUGUGUGAAGAAGACCUUUUUUCUGUUCUUAUGUUUGUGUUUAGCGAAUGUACAUUAAUGUUGUUAGAGUUUACAUGAUCAUGAAUGAAGGAACAGGUAAGAUGUCUUUCUAGAAGUUGCAUAAAACAAAUACAUGACUGAUUAAACGGAAUGUUUCGGAUUCAUCUGUGAUUCUUUUUAUGAUGUGCAAAUCUUACUACCUUGUAAAAAUUCAGAGACCACUGUCUAUAGAUCACUUGCUCAAGAAGGUCAUUUUUCUCUUUAUUGAGGUGUAACUGAUAUACAAUAUAUUCUGUAUAUAGUGUAUAGGCUAUAGUGUGUAUACCUAAACACACACACACACACACACACACACAAAUAUAUAAAGGGGAAAAAAGGGAAAAAAUAUAUAUAUGUAUCACCAGUAUGUAUCACCAUAACCAAGAUGAUGAGCAUUUCCAUCAAUCUCAGAAGUUCCCUCUGACCACUUUAAAAUCCAUUCCUUUCUCUAUCCCCAUCCUCAGAUGACCUCUGACCUGCUUUCUGUCUAGUUUACAUUUCUAGAAUUUUAUAUAAGUGAUAUCCUACAGCAUGUAUCCUUUUGUGUCUAGCUUCUUUAAUCCAGCAUGAAAACCAUGCUUUAUCCAUGUGAUUACAUUUAUCAAUAGUUUAUUGGUUUUUAUUGCUGAGUAGUAUGCCAUCAUAUGGAUAUACCACUUAUGGUGUGAGGUGAGCGUUGAUAUCCUUUUUAAAAAAUAUAUAUGGAUAUCUAAUCCACACCAUUUGUUUAAAGACAUUUUUUAUUCCUCCAUUGAGUUACAUAGCUACUUCUCAAAUAGCAACAAUCACAUACUUAUGUGUCCAUUUAUGGUUCAUCUCAUUGGACCUCAUACGGUCCUGAUCUGGUCUGUAUGUCUUCCCUUUUCCCAACAUCAAAGUUUUUUCUUAUUUUCUCUAUGUUUGUGAUGUCUUUAUAAUAAGUUUUUUUAAAGUUAUUUUCUUUUAGAUCCUGUGUAUUUUCAUAUAAGUAGGAUCAGCUUGUCAAAUUCUCAAAAAAAAAUUCAAAAA